rnacentral:rRNA from 1 species
CGGGUGAGUAACACGUGGAUAACCUACCUAUAAGACUGGGAUAACUUCGGGAAACCGGAGCUAAUACCGGAUAAUAUUUUGAACCGCAUGGUUCAAAAGUGAAAGACGGUAUUGCUGUCACUUAUAGAUGGAUCCGCGCUGCAUUAGCUAGUUGGUAAGGUAACGGCUUACCAAGGCAACGAUGCAUAGCCGACCUGAGAGGGUGAUCGGCCACACUGGAACUGAGACACGGUCCAG